UACAGAGGGGGCAAGCGUUGUUCGGAAUUACUGGGCGUAAAGGGCGCGUAGGCGGCCUGUUAAGUCGAACGUGAAAUCCCCGGGCUCAACCCGGGAACUGCGUCCGAUACUGGCAGGCUUGAAUUCGGGAGAGGGAUGUGGAAUUCCAGGUGUAGCGGUGAAAUGCGUAGAUAUCUGGAGGAACACCGGUGGCGAAGGCGGCAUCCUGGACCGAUAUUGACGUUGAUGCGCGAAAGCCAGGGGAGCAAACGGG
rnacentral:rRNA from 1 species